rnacentral:rRNA from 1 species
AUUGAACGCUGGCGGCAGGCCUAACACAUGCAAGUCGAGCGAGCGGCGGACGGGUGAGGAAUGUAUGGGGACUGCACGAUAGAGGGGGAUAACUACUGGAAACGGGGGCUACUACCGCAUCAUAACGGAUAACACAUAUGGGAUUAGCUAGUAGGUGGGGUAAAGGCUCACCUAGGCGACGAUCGCGAGCUGGUAGGAGAGGAUGAUCAGCCACCAUGGGACUUAGACACGGCCCAGACUCCUCCGGAGGCAGCAGUGGGGAAUAUUGCACAAUGGGCGAAAGCCUGAGGCAGCCAUGCCGCGUGUAUGAAGAAGGCCUUAGGGUUGUAAAGUACUUUCAGCGGGGAGGCGUUACCCGCAGAAGAAGCACCGGCUAACUCCGUGCCAGCAGCCGCGGUAAUUC